UACGGAGGGUGCGAGCGUUAAUCGGAAUUACUGGGCGUAAAGGGCGCGUAGGCGGAUAUAUGUGUGUGGUGUGAAAUCCCAGGGCUUAACCUUGGAACUGCACUUCAAACUGUAUAUCUAGAGUAUGGUAGAGGGAGGUAGAAUUUCCGGUGUAGCGGUGAAAUGCGUAGAGAUCGGAAGGAACACCAGUGGCGAAGGCGGCUCACUGGCUCGAUACUGACGCUGAGGUGCGAAAGUGUGGGGAGCAAACAGG
rnacentral:rRNA from 1 species